AGGCGCGUAGCUCAGUUGGUCUAGAGCACCACCUUGACAUGGUGGGGGUCGUUGGUUCGAAUCCAGUCGCGCCUACCA
rnacentral:tRNA from 1 species